rnacentral:lncRNA from 1 species
AAUCAACUUUCCCCACAGUGGAGUAGGCAAACUCUUAAUUAUCCAAUGAAACUUUGAUGGAUUCUGUGUAAAUAGUUGUAAUUCUUUCUUUGUGUUUUAUUCACUUAGACACCGUCUUAAAUAAUCAGCUGUGUAAUUUAGAAUUGUGUCCUCAGCCUACUUAGUGUUUACAUGUAGGUCUAAAAGAGUAAAAUAAAAAAAAAAUAGGAUUUCAUUCACUAAAAUGUGCUUCAUUCACAGUGCUGGACUUGGUAACCAAUGGGAAAAUGUCUUCAGAGUUUUAAAUCUUUUGGUGGAAAGCAAGAGUGAUUAUUUUCUAGGUACACAUAAUGACAUUCUUCCCUCCUAUGAAAUUGAUAAUCUCAUCUCUCUCCUCGAAAUUUGAAUAUAGAUCAAAGAUGGGAAAGUUUGGGUGGAUAAGAGUUAAAAUAUAUAUACACACACAAUAAAAACUUAUGUUAGUUAAAAAGAAGGCUAUUGCUAAAAGAUUAUAGACUAUUCUAACAAGGGGAAAAUCUAUCUGCAAAUAAAAAUCAUUUGUAUCCAAUAGCUUGCGAGGCUGAGGCAGAAGGAUCUCGAGUUCAAAGGAAGCCGCAGCAAUGGUGAGGCGCUAAGUCACUCAGUGAGACCUUGUCUCCAAAUAAAAUACAAAAUAAGGCUGAGUAUGUGGCUCAAUGGUUGAGUGCCCCUGAGUUCAAUUCCUGGUACCAAUAAUAAUAAUAAUAAUAAUAAUAAUAAUAAUAAUAAUAAUAAUAAUUUGUAUAUUUAAUAUAUGUAAUAUUUAUGUAUAUUUUAUAACUACAUAUUAUUUCCUUGUGCUUUAUUCAUUUAGUCUCUCUUUUAUAUAAUCAGUUGCAUUAUUUAAAAUUGUGUAGAAUAUAUAAUUACAUAUAGAGCAG